GCCGGGGUGGCCGAGCGGCCCAAGGCGCGGGACUCGAGGCCUAGGCAAGACAUCCCGUCCCCGCGAGGGGGCGUGGGUUCAAAUCCCACCCCCGGCG
rnacentral:tRNA from 1 species